GACUGACGGCGCCGGCCGCCCCUGCCCGUCGCUCGCCCGCUGCUGCCGCCCGCCCGGGGUGUGGAGCCCGGCCGCUGCUCGCGGGCUGAGCGUCUGCCGCUGCUGCCGCCGCCGCCCAGCCUCCGCCAUGGACCUUUUCGGGGACCUGCCGGAGCCCGAGCGCUCGCCGCGCCCGGCUGCCGGGAAAGAAGCUCAGAAAGGACCCCUGCUCUUUGAUGACCUCCCUCCGGCCAGCAGUACUGACUCAGGAUCAGGGGGACCUUUGCUUUUUGAUGAUCUCCCACCCGCUAGCAGUGGCGAUUCGGGUUCUCUUGCCACGUCAAUAUCCCAGAUGGUAAAGAAUGAAGGGAAAGGAGCAAAGAGAAAAACCUCCGAGGAAGAGAAGAAUGGCAGUGAAGAGCUUGUGGAAAAGAAAGUUUGUAAAGGUUUUCAGACAAUUUGAAAACAAAUGUAUUAGACUUCAUAUUUUAAAACAACCCAGAGCAAAACCAGUUUCAGCUUUCUAAUAAUACUUUCUUUUUAUGUCUGUAUUUAAGAAAUGAGUAGGGUUCCCUUUUUGCAAAUGAAUUUCCAAGUUUCUCUGUGCU
rnacentral:sRNA from 1 species